UAUGGCACGUAGGACAUUCAAACUGUGGCUCAACUCCACAUUCAAAUCUAAUGUGUCGAUUGAGGGAGUGAAGGCGAGUACAGGUCCACGAAAUGAUUCACCAGCAGGUCCCAUCGAAUCCCCUGGAGAAGUGUCUUGUGCUGAUUCUACCGUUGCAUCAUUUAAAUUACAUGACUGUGUAGUCUGGUCCAUUACUGGUGGAACAAGAUUUUCAGUCAUCUGCUUCUCAGCCACAAGCCGAAGGUAGAGACUCUGAUACUGAUAAUACCACUCAAUAGCUGCUCCCGGUUGAGUUUAAAUCAGCGUUGGACCAUUUAUUGUUGAUUGACAUAAACAUAAGGACAAACACAUUUGGGGUCUAUUUUCUCGUACGUUUCGACAUUUACCAUUCACCAGGAAGCACCACAAAUAACUUUUAUGGGG